rnacentral:rRNA from 1 species
GACGGAGGAUGCAAGUGUUAUCCGGAAUCACUGGGCGUAAAGCGUCUGUAGGUGGUUUAAUAAGUCAACUGUUAAAUCUUGAGGCUCAACCUCAAAAUCGCAGUCGAAACUAUUAGGCUAGGAGUAUAGUAGGGGUAAAGGGAAUUCCAGUGGAGCGGUGAAAUGCGUAGAGAUUGGAAAGAACACCGAUGGCGAAGGCGGCUCUCUGGACCGAUACGUGACGCUGAGGCGCGAAAGCGUGGGGAGCAAACAGG